rnacentral:tRNA from 1 species
AAUGAAGUGCCUGACAAAAAGGAUUAUUUCGAUAAAAUAAAUUAUGUAAACUUACCUUCAUUG